rnacentral:lncRNA from 1 species
AUGUCUUUAGCACUCAAAAUUUUACACAUUUGCACAAAUGUCAUCCCCUUGUACAAAUUUUUCACAAACUCAAAUCAAAGUAUUUCUGACCUUAAAGUAUCCAGAUGUAGUAUUGAUAUUAGCAUGUUCACCAAAACCUGCCGUAUCCAGUCCUACACAUGUCUACUGCCCUCUGGUGAAACAGCUACAAGUGGUAUGGUCCCAAUGUUGUCAUGGUCUGCAUCCUGUCUCUUCUCUCUCCCCACAUCGCCCCUCUGCUCUGUUGUCACUCCUGUUCCUCCUGAUCAGCUCCUCUGUUUCUCACAUCCUCCCACGCUCCCCUCAACAUUUUCAACCCUCUCCUCCCCAGCCUCUUGAAGAUUUUAUGGUGCUGUUUAAUGAUAGAUGAGCUCCAGCUGAUUGGGUAUUCUUGAUGGAUAGAACUCCAUCCCUUUUCUUAUUUCUUCAAUUUGAUGUUAUUCUGCAUGUGUUUACAGUAUGGUAGCAGGAUGUUUGAUGUGUGCGUCAGGUUAGGCGCUGAGAUUUGUUUUCUAUUAAAAAUGUUUGUGCUGUGGACCUGCUGGGCAUAUGCGAUGUGGCGUGAUAAAUAAUAGAGUUUAUUGUGGAUGCAUUAGAGACAGAUACAGUGGAAUACGUAAAGAGGCCACCUGUCUACAGCUCUCUAUCUGCAGAGUUAAGAUAAACACUGAAGUGUGUGUGAAAUAUUUCACCAGCAGGCUGAUUGACAUUGUUUCUUUUAUAUAAUUAGGUUUAAGCUAAAUAAUUAUGAAUACUUCAGCUAAAUCUAAAAUAAAAUUAUAAUUUCAUAGUUAAUUAGGAGGAAAAAUGUCUACAGGACAAUAACGUAAAGUUUGCUAAAAAUACAUAUUUUCAGGGAUGUCCCAUAUUAUCGGUCCACCGAUAUUGGCCUUAAAAAGUAACAGUGGAAAAUAUCGGUAUCGAUUUUUACUCCUUUAGUGACCCAACUUUUACAAACCAACUACAAAUAAUAGAUCAAACUCUUCGGCUUCAUGUCCUCUCUAUCAAAAUGCCAAAAUAUAACAGAUCUGAGUUUGAGACAUUUUAGUUUCAUUUGGCACAACUUGUGAAUAAUUAGGAUGUUGCCAUGUGUAGUGAGGAUCUGCUGUCCUUAGAGCACGUAACUGUCUGUAGCUAGCAGCUAGCAAACAACCAAAACAAACACAAGAACCUUCGCCCAAAGCUUGCUCUUCUUAAAAGAAAAUCUUUAUAAAUGUUUUAUCAUCGUAACUACGAUAAACACAAACAGAAAAAAUACAUUACUGACUAAGCCCCCACAAUGCAGGUGAAAAAUUGAAGCAAUCCCGGAAGUGAAAUAAAUUGCAGUUCCACCCUCAUCCGCUAGGGGCCGGUGUCAGAAGCAAGCAAUUCCUCAUUGACUCCCAUGUUAAAAAUACCAAUUUCACAGCAGAAAUAAACAUGUGUACAGCCUGGUACCAAAACAUGUUUUUUGUUUAAAUGAUCUAGUUUACACUCAUGACAACUCUGAGGGGGUUGAAUUUUUUUGUCACUCUUCUGUUUAAGUGUAUUAAAAGCCUAAAAUUCUGUAUAAUUAAUGAGCAUAUGACCCACGUGACCGCAGAGCUAGCUCCGGGGAAAGGCCUCAGCCUGAGCCUCGGCCUCGCCUGAAAACUGUUCGGUCAUUUUCAAUCUCUCAACUUAGACCAUUAGUUGUAGCGUUUUGUGUAUUCUUUUUUGGAUAUUUUUUGUGCAAUUGUUGGACAAAAUGACUUUCUGUGGUAUUAAUUGCACUAAUAGAGCGUCCAAGGAGUCUCCACUUCAUUUUUUUCGGUAAG